UCGGCUCGAAAAGAGUGGUGGGCCGCAGCUAUCGUGGGUUGCAGGUUGCGGUCAAAGCCUAGCCCCCAAUCCCCUUCCGUCCCGAGCCCCACGCCCCACACGCCGCUCCAUCUCCGCCCGUGCCAUCCGCCGCCGCCGCCAUGCCCCUCCUCCUCCCCUUGGUUUCUCUCCUCUUCGAGCUGCCUCUCCUCCACCCGCACCAUCGACCAUCUCCCUACCUCUUUCUCCUGUCCGCGAGACAGUGCCUUCCCACGUUCUCGAUCCGGCAUUGCCGUGCACGGUGGUUUCAGAUCGUGCGCAGGUCGCAGGCAUGGAAGUAAGGGGCGUGGUGGUUUCUGUGAUGUGUAUGGAGGAGCGGGGGAAGGUGAGGAUGACGGACAGGUGGGAAGGCGCAGCAAGACUGGAGCUGCAGCGCUCGCAUCAUGAUGGCGUGGAGCCGUCCAUCACUACCCAUCGACCCUAGUUUAGAUAUGUACAGAUCAGACGAAGAAGAGAAGAGGCAACCCGUUCGCUAUGGUGAGUUGCAAGGUAGCGGGAGGAUGCCGGUUAUAGCAAAAGGAGCAGGCUGGUGAGGAGGGAAAGCAGCACCGGAAGCCUACAGUGAUGGAAAGAAUCAGAAUCCCAACAAAAAUACUGUUCAAUGCUAGAUGCAGCAGCUAGGCCUCCCAGAUGAAGUGUACUCAACACAGAAGGCAAGAGCAAUUGGUCUUGGCGCAACUAUUCACUUCUAUCCCUCCAAGCAUCAACUGGACAACAAUCUUCCAAGACAAUCAAUAUCAAUCCAUGUAUCCAACAAACUAGAAGAUGUUGAAGAUCAACUAGCAAACGAAGCUCUCAAGUACAUGAAAAGCAUCCACCGUAAAGUGCCGUAAAGUGCUGCAGGACAUAAACUACGACAAGAUGCAGCUGCUCCAGCAGAAGUGUGAAGCUCUUGAGCAUCAGCAGAAAGAAAAGGACAACCUAAUAGACUAUUUUAGCAACAGUUGGUGCUAUAGCCUCGGUGGAGAUCACAUGGCAGCAAAGGAACUUUACCGUAUAAUAGAUAGCAACUUCACAGCCGGAUCAAUAUCCAAAGACAAUGAUUGGAAUCAUAUUUUGUCGCAAGUAAGAUAUGUUGCUGAUCAUACAGCCACACAAUCAGAGUAUGAACUCCAACAGACAAACAAGUACUACUGGAGCUUGGAUGAUGAUGUUGAAGGAAUUUCUGCUAUGAACAAUGAAAACAUCCAACCACAACCACUAUGAACAAUUGCCUGAACAAGUUUUCAGCGCCGAUGAUCCACCAAUCACACUGACUAAUGUUCAUGACUUCAUAAUGGCUAUAAGAUGUCUCUCUCCCUAUCUACCUUCCUUCCUAAUAGCAUUGUAAAUAUUUUAUCGUAAGCUUCUUAGAUCACUAUGUAUCACGAAUAAUCCAUGUGUUCUAAUCUGCCCCUAAAUA